GACGAACGCUGGCGGCGUGCUUAACACAUGCAAGUCGAACGGAAAGGCCCUGCUUUUGUGGGGUGCUCGAGUGGCGAACGGGUGAGUAACACGUGAGUAACCUGCCCUUGACUUUGGGAUAACUUCAGGAAACUGGGGCUAAUACCGGAUAGGAGCUCCUGCUGCAUGGUGGGGGUUGGAAAGUUUCGGCGGUUGGGGAUGGACUCGCGGCUUAUCAGCUUGUUGGUGGGGUAGUGGCUUACCAAGGCUUUGACGGGUAGCCGGCCUGAGAGGGUGACCGGCCACAUUGGGACUGAGAUACGGCCCAGACUCCUACGGGAGGCAGCAGUGGGGUAUAUUGCACAAUGGGCGGAAGCCUGAUGCAGCAACGCCGCGUGCGGGAUGACGGCCUUCGGGUUGUAAACCGCCUUCGCCUGUGACGAAGCGUGAGUGACGGUAAUGGGUAAAGAAGCACCGGCUAACUACGUG
rnacentral:rRNA from 1 species